AAAACGACUCUCGGCAACGGAUAUCUCGGCUCUCGCAUCGAUGAAGAACGUAGCAAAAUGCGAUACUUGGUGUGAAUUGCAGAAUCCCGUGAAUCAUCGAGUCUUUGAACGCAAGUUGCGCCCGAAGUCUUUAGGCUGAGGGCACGCCUGCGUGGGCGUCACGC
rnacentral:rRNA from 1 species